rnacentral:rRNA from 1 species
AGUGAACGCUGGCGGUAGGCCUAACACAUGCAAGUCGAACGGCAGCACAGUAAGAGCUUGCUCUUACGGGUGGCGAGUGGCGGACGGGUGAGGAAUACAUCGGAAUCUACUUUUUCGUGGGGGAUAACGUAGGGAAACUUACGCUAAUACCGCAUACGACCUACGGGUGAAAGCAGGGGAUCUUCGGACCUUGCGCGAUUGAAUUAGCCGAUGUCGGAUUAGCUAGUUGGCGGGGUAAAGGCCCACCAAGGCGACGAUCCGUAGCUGGUCUGAGAGGAUGAUCGGCCACACGGGAACUGAGACACGGUCCAGACUCCUACGGGAGGCAGCAGUGGGGAAUAUUGGGCAAUGGGCGCAAGCCUGAUCCAGCCAUACCGCGUGGGUGAAGAAGGCGUUCGGGUUGUAAAGCCCUUUUGUUGGGAAAGAAAAGCAGUAGGUUAAUACCCCGCUGUUCUGACGGUACCCAAAGAAUAAGCACCGGCUAACUUCGUG